rnacentral:rRNA from 1 species
GGUUUAGUACCUUCCGGUCGGUCCUACGAAGUUAGUUAACGGAACCGUCGGUCGGGCCGGACUAGUCGUACGUACACAUGCAAGUCGAACGCGAACGGGCUUCGGCCCAAGUAGAGUGGCGGACGGGUGAGUAAUGCGUGGGAAUCUACCCUCGAGCGGGGGACAACCCGGGAAACCCGGGCUAAUACCGCAUACGUCCUACGGGAGAAAGCGGGCCUCUACACUAUGCUCGCACUCGAGGAUGAGCCCACGUCCGAUUAGCUAGUUGGUAGGGUAACGGCCUACCAAGGCCACGAUCGGUAGCUGGUCUGAGAGGAUGAUCAGCCACACUGGGACUGAGACACGGCCCAGACUCCUACGGGAGGCAGCAGUGGGGAAUAUUGGACAAUGGGCGCAAGCCUGAUCCAGCAAUGCCGCGUGUGUGAAGAAGGCCUGCGGGUUGUAAAGCACUUUCAGUGGGGAAGAACGGAUACGGGCCAAUACCCCGCAUCACUGACGUUACCCACAGAAGAAGCACCGGCUAACUCCGUG